rnacentral:lncRNA from 1 species
UCAGCCACCGCCGCCGCAAAUUUCAGCGAGCACGAUGCCUCCCUCCGGCUCCGAUUCGGGUAGAUUGACGUAGGUGAGCACCCUUUUUCUUUCUCUUUUUCGUUUAAUUUUAUAACAAAGAACAAAUAAAAAAACAGAAAUCCCCUAAAAAAAUGAAACGAAAAUACCUUCAAAAAUCUUUUGAUUUAGUAUCUUUUUUCAAUACAAUCUUUUUUUCUUUUUACACUCGUGUUUUUACCCCCUCCCUAAUUUACAGAUUUGAGUUUGCUCUUUAUAGCAGACUAUGGAAAAAGAAAAAGGUAAGAAUCAUCUAAUUUAAAACGCAUCAUUUGUUCGCUGAUUUUUUUCUAUUUUCUUGCUAUUCUGCCUAUACUGUUUGUUGACAUCUUUGCUGUGCAGGUACAGGCUUGGAGGUAGCGCACGCGCGCAGUGGUGCAACACACGCGGAGGGAAGGCUUGGCUACUUGCGGCGCUAGGAAUUGUUGUUGCUGAUUUGUUUCGGGCUAGUGGGCUAGGGUUUAGGCAUUUGGGUUAGGUUAAAUUUAGUUGGGCCUGAUAUUUUGGGUUUGUAAUCUAUAUUGGGCUAUGUAAAUGGACUAUCUAACAUUGAACUUUUAUUAUUU